rnacentral:misc_RNA from 1 species
UUAAGUUCAGCGGGUAACCCUACCUGAUCCGAGGUCAAACUUAGAGAGUAAGGUUUGACGGCAGGCCUCCACCGGGUCCCGAAGCGAGCUGUAAUACUACGCAGGGGGCGCCGCGGCAGGACCGCCACUUCAUUUCGGGGCCUACGGGGGAUAGCACGAGGCUUCCCGUAGUGCCCCGACACCGGGCAGGUCCAGCCACC